CAGCAUCCGCGGUAACACGUAGGUGGCAAGCGUUGUCCGGAAUUAUUGGGCGUAAAGCGCGCGUAGGUGGUUUUUUAAGUCUGAUGUGAAAGCCCACGGCUCAACCGUGGAGGGUCAUUGGAAACUGGAAAACUUGAGUGCAGAAGAGGAAAGUGGAAUUCCAUGUGUAGCGGUGAAAUGCGCAGAGAUAUGGAGGAACACCAGUGGCGAAGGCGACUUUCUGGUCUGUAACUGACGCUGAUGUGCGAAGGCGUGGGGAUCAAACAGGAUUAGAUACCCCGGUAGUCCCUGUCUCUUAUAA
rnacentral:rRNA from 1 species